UACGUAGGGUGCAAGCGUUGUCCGGAAUUAUUGGGCGUAAAGAGCUCGUAGGCGGUCUGUCGCGUCGGCUGUGAAAACUCACAGCUUAACUGUGGGCGUGCGGGCGAUACGGGCAGACUGGAGUACUGCAGGGGAGACUGGAAUUCCUGGUGAGCGGUGGAAUGCGCAGAUAUCAGGAGGAACACCGGUGGCGAAAGGCGGGUCUCUGGGCAGUAACUGACGCU
rnacentral:rRNA from 1 species